rnacentral:rRNA from 1 species
UACAGAGGUCUCGAGCGUUAGGCGGAAUCACUGGGCUUAAAGCGUGUGUAGGCGGAUCGGUAAGUACCUUGUGAAAUCCCACAGCUUAACUGUGGAACUGCUUGGUAUACUGCCAGUCUUGAGCCAGCUAGGGGCUACCGGAACAAAUGGUGGAGCAGUGAAAUGCGUAGAUAUCAUUUGGAACGCCAAUGGUGAAAACAGGUAGCUGGGGCUGUGCUGACGCUGAGACACGAAAGCCAGGGGAGCGAACGGG